rnacentral:rRNA from 2 species
UUAGAUUGAAGAAGCUUGCUUCUGAUUGAUAACAUUUGAGUGAGUGGCGGACGGGUGAGUAACACGUGGGUAACCUGCCCUAAAGUGGGGGAUAACAUUUGGAAACAGAUGCUAAUACCGCAUAAAACCUAGCACCGCAUGGUGCAAGGUUGAAAGAUGGUUUCGGCUAUCACUUUAGGAUGGACCCGCGGUGCAUUAGUUAGUUGGUGAGGUAAAGGCUCACCAAGACCGUGAUGCAUAGCCGACCUGAGAGGGUAAUCGGCCACACUGGGACUGAGACACGGCCCAGACUCCUACGGGAGGCAGCAGUAGGGAAUCUUCCACAAUGGACGAAAGUCUGAUGGAGCAACGCCGCGUGAGUGAAGAAGGUUUUCGGAUCGUAAAACUCUGUUGUUGGAGAAGAACGUAUUUGAUAGUAACUGAUCAGGUAGUGACGGUAUCCAACCA